ensembl:snRNA U6 U6 spliceosomal RNA
AUGCUCAUUUCGGCAGCACAUAUACUAAAAUUAGAACGAUACAGAGAAGAUUAGCAUGGGCCCCUGCGCAAGGAUGACAUGCAAAUUUGUGAAGCAUUCCAUAUAACU